CCUACGGGGUGCAGCAGUGAGGAAUAUUGGUCAAUGGACGAGAGUCUGAACCAGCCAAGUAGCGUGAAGGAUGAAUGCCCUAUGGGUUGUAAACUUCUUUUAUAUGGGAAUAAAACAUGGUAUGCAUACCCUGUUGUAUGUACCUUAAGAAUAAGGAUCGGCUAACUCCGUGCCAGCAACCGCGGUAAUACGGAGGAUGCGAGCGUUAUCCGGAUUUAUUGGGUUUAAAGGGAGCGUAGGUGGAUUUUUAAGUCAGGUGUCAAAGGUCGCGGCUAAACCUUGAGAAUGCAGUUGAAACUGGCAGUCUUGAGGACAGGAGAGGUAGGCGGAAUGCGUGGUGUAGCGGUGAAAUGCUUAGAUAUCGCGAAGAACUCCGAUUGCGAAGGCAGCUCACUGGACUGCAACUGACACUGAGGCACGAAAGUGUGGGUAUCAAACAGGAUUAGAUACCCGGGUAGUC
rnacentral:rRNA from 1 species